rnacentral:rRNA from 1 species
UUGCAUCCCUCUUUUUUUCGGUUUUUCUCUUUUUUUGUUUUGUUAAAAAUAAAUGACUCUAUAACCUUUAGACUGUGAGGCCAAACUUGGCAUGUGAUACAUUUUCAGAAAGCCCAAAGAGAGCUCCCCGAUGAAUGAGGAAGCACAAUGGAAGUCUUCUAUUAGUUUUUUUCUACUCCAAAUUUUGACCUUAAUGUACUUUUUCAGGCCUUUUCGUGAUCUUGCUUUAUUACGAGGCGAAAAUUUUAUGUUCGGACAUUGUUUUCAAAUAUUUUGCAUGUAUCAAAGCUCUUAUAAACAAGAUAGGGUAUUCUUACAUAGCUGGUGGGACCCACGGGCAAAUGGAUCAUAAAGUCUUCAAAAAAGAAUAGAUACGAUUGCAUUGCAUGUAGUAACGGAUGCGAUCAUACCAGC